GUCACUAAGCUCUAUCUACACCCUAGUUUCUUCAGACUAGCCUUCACUGUGGAGCCUCAAACUCUCAUUCCUCCUGCCUCCACUCCGGAUUGCUGGGAUUACAGCUGCCACCACAAUGGCUCUAAACAAACUUCCCUGUUUGUGAAUCACCCAGUCUGCAGUACUCUGGACGGCAGCACAAAACGGACUAAGCUCAAGGCGGGAACAACUCACACAAUAAGCCUCUGCUUGUGGGUCCACAACAUGUCCUCUCUCCCGUGGCAAAAAAACGUGAGGUUUUUGGCUCUUUCUAAAUUUCUUCACUUGUAAUCCAGACCACACCAUGUCCCUGGGGGCUGAGGAAGCUGCUCUGUUUCCCAGGAAACCACUCUGAGUCUUGAAGACUUAUUAAGCACUCCACAAACUUGAGGGAGUGUUUUCAUACUGAUGCAGCCAGAGCUAGAUCCCUAGGGAGGUAGUGAGCUCUCCGUCCCUGCAGGUGUACAAGCUGAAGCCAAGCAAAGAAUUCGAAGAGAAUUGCUGCAAGAGAGAUUCCAACAUCAGAAAAGAUGAGCUGACUCCCCUCCCCCUCCAAACAAACAAACAGCAGUAGUUCAGAGCCAAGUGAACUGUUUUCAGAUUCCCCGAUCUGCGGAGCUGCCGUGGGUAAGUUACUCAAUUGCUCGUUACUCAAUUUUAAACUAUUAAUAGUGCUUUCCUCACUGCAUUACUGGAAGAUUACAUCAUAAAUUAAUACGUGUGAAACAUUUUAGCAAAAUGCCUGACACAUGGUAAAUCUAUACCCACUAGUUACUGCUGUCAGACUUUGCAUUUUUAACUUCGGAGUUAAAAUGUUGUGUUGAAAACUUCAGUCGACACUGUGUAAGAGAUAGUCAAAGGCCUGCUGCCCUGCCUGGUGGCGUAGGGCUGGAAUUCCCGGAACCCCAUCCCCUCUGGUCCCUGCCUAUGACACCACAGUUGAUAUGAGGACACCUGCAUUUCAGGAAGCAGGCCGAAGUGUCAGGAGAGAAUGAAUGUAAGGAGAAAGGAGAAAGUGUCCGGAGAGAAAGAACACAGGGAGAAGGGGCCAGGAACCAGAUACAGUAAUUGAGGUGUCUGAGCACAGAGGGCCUUCAGCCCAUGAGGGAGAGGCCGAGACCGGCCAUUGGAAGAGAGUCUCCAACUUUGCCACAACCUCCCUCCUCCCAGCUCAGGUUGGCUGUGCUCCACAGCAGGACUCAGGACAGAGUCGGGGGAGUGAGUACAUCUGAGGCCUGUCGGGACACUGCUGGGACCAGACUGGUACCCUACAAAGGGAGUACCUGGCUGCAAAGGGGGUUUGUCUGAAGUCACCAUCAGGUCAUUGGGCCAUGCCUUAGGAGUCUAGGCCUUGUUUCUACCCACAGGAAAACGGCACAGUGGUAACUACAGUCACAAUAAUAACAAUAGUGAAGUGAUCUUUCUCUUUAAUCUCCCCAUGGGAGUCAUAGUCACAACAGUGAUAACAAUAGUGAUUGUGUUGACUUUUCUUUGAUGACCAAGAAAGGUCAGACAUGACUCAACAUUCGUUCCGGGACCAUUUUUUUUUUCAUCGUGGUAAAUCCCUCCAUUGGGGAACAACAUGCUCCGUUUUCCAGGGGAGCAAGUGCAGGCACAGAGAGGAGUCAGGGGCUGUCUGAGACACACAGCUGGCGCUCGGCAGAGUGGGACUAGAUCCUGUAGCCUAGCUACACUGCCCGUGUCAUGUACAUAUGUUAUUAGAGGUAAGUAGGCUUUCUUUACGGAAGUGCAAAUUAUCAGUGUUCGUAGACAAAGGGGGUUUCCGAGUUCAGGGAGCUACCAUGUGUGCACAGCUGCCUUCCGGAUAGCUAAUAGCUCCUCUCAUUGUGGCUCCAGAGAAGCCAAGUGUUCAUUUUCUCCUUUCACCAGGAGUGGUACAUGACCCCGAUGGAACCAAGAUUUGUGUAUGUUCAGGUGCUACUGUGCAUUACAAAGCUCUUACAGCAAUGGUUAUUGCUUUUCCCUCUUGCCUGCACAGAAAAGGGGUGCAUUUCCUGAAACCCAAAAGCCAUUUUAUAAUCACAAAGCACCAAGAAUGAGAAUAACAAGGUACCUGUUAGAGCUUCAGGACUUGGCUUGGCCCAGGCUCAGAAAAGGCACCUAUGCUGUUUGUUCUUCAGGCCACACUGUGGCCAGCCACCAGAGCAGUCUACAUGAACAAACUCAAGGAUCUUGAAGAAUGAAGUAUGGAUCUUGCCCUAAACCCCGCUGCUGAGAAAUGUCCAAGGUCCCGAGAAUCCAUCCUACCGACUUCGAGCAAACAUCCGGCUUAGCCUACAGUUCCCAUCUAGACAAGCACUGAGGGACAUGAUGCCACAUUCCCAGUGCUGACAGGUGAAUGAAGCCAGCAGUGUGGGGAGCAGGUGAAGUGCUAAGUGGACGUGUGUUGUUGACAGGAGCACAGCCAUGUCAAGGACCCCAAAGCCUCAGACCCAGGGGAAUGGCACAGCCUUCCUGAGGUCAGGCUCAGGAAAUGGUAAAGUCUUCCCUUGGUCUGUGUGCAGACGUUGUCAGUGUGUGUGAAAUGUCAACAGCAGCUUCCUCUCCCUGGAUGUUUACAGCCUGAGACUGGUCCCCUAUAGAGACCUCCUACCAAGAUUAACUAAAUCUGCCUUUUCUUUCCUCUGUGUACAAUAAGCCCACUUCCUUGUUCAGCUGUAUAAAUAAAUGCACUACGUUUCUGG